rnacentral:rRNA from 1 species
UACGUAGGGUGCGAGCGUUAAUCGGAAUUACUGGGCGUAAAGCGUGCGCAGGCGGUUCGUUGUGUCGGCGGUGAAAGCCCCGGGCUUAACCUGGGAACGGCCGUUGGAACUGGCGAACUGGAGUGUGGCAGAGGGGGGUGGAAUUCCGCGUGUAGCAGUGAAAUGCGUAGAGAUGCGGAGGAGCACCGAUGGCGAAGGCAGCCCCCUGGGCUAACACUGACGCUCAGGCACGAAAGCGUGGGGAGCAAACAGG